GCACGUUAGCAGGUCAUUUCUGGAGGAAUGUCCUUAUCACAAAAGAAAACAAUGGAAGGAAAUCACCUUUCUCAUGAAAACUGCUGAGAGAUUCCCCACUGCAAGGAGAAAACUGGUGACAGAAGGGCUCUGCAUCAAAAAGUAAAGGGAGAACACGGGAGAAAACGACCCUCCUGCACCCAGAUUUUGUCACUUGAUCUAUGUGGAUUGGGAAAGUUAGCAUAAGUUCAUCUGAUUUACGCCUCCAGAAACAUCGCAGCCAUGCUCACUUGGUUUGAUCAGUGUCACUCAUGGGACCUACGUACCCCUGUGCCUCCCCUGGUGUUCUCUGAGCAACGUGAGUAGACGGACAGCUUGGGAAACUUCAGGAACGAAGGAGAAGAUGUUUAAGGGCAGAAAGUGAGGCAUAAGUUUAAUCAGUACAAAAUAUACCAGACAGUCUUUUAGUAUACGUAAUCUAGGAUGACGCCGAUGCUGACUGUGGGUCCAGGUGUUGGCUGUGAGCUGAAGGGAGUGUGGGGGCAAUGUGUUCAGUUUAUGGACUCCCUGGAGAGGAGUGCAGGUACAAAGUCCUGAAUCACUCUCACUGUGGUUUGUUUUUUGUUUUCCAUAUGAUUUUAUGGUUAAAAAUGAGAAAAGAUUUGCUAAGUCUAUCUAUGUAAAUUUCUCAUCUCCAAACCUGUAAUUCCAUAUUUUCCAUUUAAAGAACAGUUUUUCCUUUUUAUUUUAAGUAAACAAACAAAUAAAUAGAAAAUCAAGCCCCUUAACUAAUUAAUGGUGGCUUUUUGGCAUCACUGACUCUCAUAAACUUUGUCAGUGUCUGAUGGCAAUAAAUAGGAUUAUCUGUCUUUUACUCUGGGGAUAAGUAAACGUUGAGUAAUAUCAGUGGUCUUCUCAUAAACUUGUUGAAGACCGUUCUAGAACUAGAAAAUUGUGUGGGGUUACUUAAUAUUUACAGUAACAUGACACAGACUUCAUUAUCACAAGUCAAAUAAAUUCAUAUCCAUGGAAUAAUCAGUAAUUUCCUGUGGAGGCUGCUGGAGAUUAUUUUGGCUGGGGAGAACCUCCAUUUCCAGUUUUUCUUACUGAUUCAGUUGGGCUUACAGGAAUAAGCAAGGUCUUGCUGUAAGCGCUGGAUACACUGACCAAAGCACUGGGGGAGUAUGAUAUUUUCCAGGCUGUUGUUUGAGUGGUGUUAAGAAAAGCUAUAUUGAAAUGUAAGCUCUUCGUAAGGGUGCGCAGAUGGUAUUCUCUGAUUGCUAUGGAGAAGUCUCUUCUCCCAGUAGGGAACGUAACUCAUCUGCCCCACUGAGAGCUGUGCAUGCUGGGCAAGGAUGGAAACAGAUAGGCAGAGCAGCAGCCCCUGUCAGCUUUGAGCACAGUGUUGGGCUUUGCUGAUUGUGUGCAAGUAAAACUUUGAACAGGAAAAUCAAUUAAGUUCAGGUUGGUGCAAUCAAAGUCUAGAUGAAGAAAAUCAAAAUAAAUCAACAUCAGUUUGCCUCUGACCUGGAAAAGAGGAGAGGAGUGCCUUUUAACAGUGUAGAUGGAUAUUCACAACAGCAAUCUGAGCUUUGAAGCUUGUUUCUAUUUACAGGCAGACAAGAGUGGCUUGUAUCAGGGAACUGAGAGGCCUUAACAGCCCUUUUUAUGAGAGCAACUGUCCAGAUGCCUGCCUACCAUCAUCACUGUCAGCCACUAAGGACCUACACCUUUUCUCCAUACGCUAAAAAACAAGCUAGUUCAGACAUUCACAAACUUGCUCUUCUCUUGAAGUCUGUAUCUGGCAUUGCCUUUCUCUGAGUGGCAGAAUACCUUCCAAUUUUUUAUUUGAUCACUUUUGCUCUUUGACAUAAAUCUUUCCCUGACAUGUUUUACUUUGACUGUUCCUAAUAUAGCUGUGCCUAAUGAGACAAAUUCCAAUAGCAGAAGUACUGAUUACGGGAUUAACAGUUUCAUAUCCGAGCAACCAUGAAACUGUAGAGUUCUCUAUUCUUGGAGAUGUCAGAAGGGUGACUAGCAAAACUGCUGUCUUGAACUUCAAGAGGGUGGACUUUGACCUGUUCAGGACGCUUGUAGCACGGGUCCCCUGGGAGUCGCUCCUUAAGGGUAAAGGGAUCCAGGAAGCCUGGACGCUCCUCAAGAUGGAAAUCUUAAAGGCACAAGAACUGGCUGUCCCUGAAUGCCAUAAGGCAAUCCAUAAGGGAAGAAGACUAGUGUGGAUGAACUGGGAAUUACUGUUGAGACUUCUGAAGAAAAGGAGAGUCUAUGUCCUCUGGAAGAAAGGACAGGCUACUCGGGGAGAUUACAAGGAAGUUGCUAAGGUAUGCAGGGAGGACGUUAGGAAGGCAAAAGCCCAACUUGAACUCAGAUUGGCCACUGCAGUAAAAGAGAAUAAGAAAUCCUUUUACAAAUAUAUCAAUAGAAAGAGAAGAACCAAGGGGAAUUUCCAUCCUUUACUUGAUGCAGCGGGGAAUGUGGCCAGUGAGGAUAAGGAGAAGGCUGAGAUCCUCAAUGCUUUCUUUACAUCUGCCUUUAAUAGUCAGAUCAGUUAUCCUCAGGACACUUUGUGCCCUGAUCUGGAAGUCUGGGAUGCUAUGCAGGAUACACCCCCAGUGAUUCAGGUGGAGACCACUAGAGAGCCCCUCCUCCAUCUGGACUGUCACAAAUCCAUGGGACCAGAUGGUCUCCACCCUCGGGUACUGAGGGAG
ensembl:lncRNA